rnacentral:rRNA from 1 species
UACGUAGGGUGCAAGCGUUGUCCGGAAUUAUUGGGCGUAAAGAGCUCGUAGGCGGUUUGUCGCGUCUGCUGUGAAAACGCGAGGCUCAACCUCGCGCCUGCAGUGGGUACGGGCAGACUGGAGUACUGCAGGGGAGACUGGAAUUCCUGGUGUAGCGGUGGAAUGCGCAGAUAUCAGGAGGAACACCGGUGGCGAAGGCGGGUCUCUGGGCAGUAACCGACGCUGAGGAGCGAAAGCGUGGGGAGCGAACAGG